CCUACGGGAGGCAGCAGUGGGGAAUAUUGCUCAAUGGGGGAAACCCUGAACCAGCAACGCCGCGUGGAGGAUGACGGCUUUCUGAUUGUAAACUUCUUUUGUUAGAGAAGAAAAUGACGGUAUCUAACGAAUAUUCACGGGCUAGCUCCGUGAAAGCAGCCGCGGUAAUACGGAGGGUGCAACCGUUACUCGGAAUCACUGGGCGUAAAGAGCGCGUAGGCGGGUCAGCAAGCCAGAUGUGAAAUCCUAGGGCUGAACCAUAGAACUGCAUUUGAAACUGUUAUUCUAGAGUGUGGCAGAGGUAGGUGGAAUUCUUGGUGUAGGGGUGAAAUCCGUAGAUAGCAAGAGGAAUACUCAUUGCGAAGGCGACCUGCUGGAGCGUAACUGACGCUGAUGCGCGAAAGCGUGGGGAGCAAACAGGAUUAGAUACCCCUGUAGUC
rnacentral:rRNA from 1 species